UACGAAGGGGGCGAGCGUUGUUCGGAAUUACUGGGCGUAAAGGGCGCGUAGGCGGCCCUCUUUGUCGCGUGUGAAAGCCCCGGGCUCAACCUGGGAACGGCGCGCGAAACGGGGGGGCUGGAGUUCGGGAGAGGAGCGUGGAAUUCCCGAGUGUAGAGGUGAAAUUCGUAGAUAUGGGAAGAACACCGGGUGGCGAAGGCGGCGACCUGGUC
rnacentral:rRNA from 1 species